rfam:Vigna angularis cultivar Jingnong 6 scaffold249_169, whole genome shotgun sequence.
CAGUUAGGGGAAUGAUGUAUUAUUAUCGAGCCCUUAAGACGCUAGCGUUCCUUGACUCCGCCUCUGAAAUGGACGUGAG